rnacentral:rRNA from 4 species
GGGUUGUGAGGUUAAGCGACUAAGCGUACACGGUGGAUGCCCUGGCAGUCAGAGGCGAUGAAGGGCGUGCUAAUCUGCGAUAAGCGCCGGUAAGGUGAUAUGAACCGUUAUAACCGGCGAUACCCGAAUGGGGAAACCCAGUGUGAUUCGUCACACUAUCAUUAACUGAAUCCAUAGGUUAAUGAGGCGAACCGGGGGAACUGAAACAUCUAAGUACCCCGAGGAAAAGAAAUCAACCGAGAUUCCCCCAGUAGCGGCGAGCGAACGGGGAGGAGCCCAGAGCCUGAAUCAGCAUGUGUGUUAGUGGAAGCGUCUGGAAAGGCGCGCGAUACAGGGUGACAGCCCCGUACACAAAAGCGCAUGUGCUGUGAGCUCGAUGAGUAGGGCGGGACACGUGGUAUCCUGUCUGAAUAUGGGGGGACCAUCCUCCAAGGCUAAAUACUCCUGACUGACCGAUAGUGAACCAGUACCGUGAGGGAAAGGCGAAAAGAACCCCGGCGAGGGGAGUGAAAAAGAACCUGAAACCGUGUACGUACAAGCAGUGGGAGCCCCACCACUAAGCCAGUGGUGAACUCCACAUACGCAUCCUUUGCUGAGGAUACGGUUAACGGAGCGAAAGCGACGUUCAACCUCAAAAGAAGCAGAGGGGGCUUAGUGGUGGGGUGACUGCGUACCUUUUGUAUAAUGGGUCAGCGACUUAUAUUCUGUAGCAAGGUUAACCGUAUAGGGGAGCCGGAGGGAAACCGAGUCUUAAUUGGGCGUUAAGUUGCAGGGUAUAGACCCGAAACCCGGUGAUCUAGCCAUGGGCAGGUUGAAGGUUGGGUAACACUAACUGGAGGACCGAACCGACUAAUGUUGAAAAAUUAGCGGAUGACCUGUGGCUGGGGGUGAAAGGCCAAUCAAACCGGGAGAUAGCUGGUUCUCCCCGAAAGCUAUUUAGGUAGCGCCUCGUGAAUUCAUCUCCGGGGGUAGAGCACUGUUUCGGCUAGGGGGCCAUCCCGGCUUACCAACCCGAUGCAAACUGCGAAUACCGGAGAAUGUUAUCACGGGAGACACACGGCGGGUGCUAACGUCCGUCGUGAAGAGGGAAACAACCCAGACCGCCAGCUAAGGUCCCAAAGUCAUGGUUAAGUGGGAAACGAUGUGGGAAGGCCCAGACAGCCAGGAUGUUGGCUUAGAAGCAGCCAUCAUUUAAAGAAAGCGUAAUAGCUCACUGGUCGAGUCGGCCUGCGCGGAAGAUGUAACGGGGCUAAACCAUGCACCGAAGCUGCGGCAGCGACGCUGAUGCGUUGUUGGGUAGGGGAGCGUUCUGUAAGCCUGUGAAGGUGGCCUGUGAGGGUUGCUGGAGGUAUCAGAAGUGCGAAUGCUGACAUAAGUAACGAUAAAGCGGGUGAAAAGCCCGCUCGCCGGAAGACCAAGGGUUCCUGUCCAACGUUAAUCGGGGCAGGGUGAGUCGACCCCUAAGGCGAGGCCGAAAGGCGUAGUCGAUGGGAAACGGGUUAAUAUUCCCGUACUUGGUGUUACUGCGAAGGGGGGACGGAGAAGGCUAUGUUGGCCGGGCGACGGUUGUCCCGGUUUAAGCGUGUAGGUGUGUGUUCCAGGUAAAUCCGGUUCACUUUAACACUGAGGCGUGACGACGAGGCACUACGGUGCUGAAGCAACAAAUGCCCUGCUUCCAGGAAAAGCCUCUAAGCAUCAGGUAACAUCAAAUCGUACCCCAAACCGACACAGGUGGUCAGGUAGAGAAUACCAAGGCGCUUGAGAGAACUCGGGUGAAGGAACUAGGCAAAAUGGUGCCGUAACUUCGGGAGAAGGCACGCUGACACGUAGGUGAAGUGAUUUACUCAUGGAGCUGAAGUCAGUCGAAGAUACCAGCUGGCUGCAACUGUUUAUUAAAAACACAGCACUGUGCAAACACGAAAGUGGACGUAUACGGUGUGACGCCUGCCCGGUGCCGGAAGGUUAAUUGAUGGGGUCAGCGCAAGCGAAGCUCCUGAUCGAAGCCCCGGUAAACGGCGGCCGUAACUAUAACGGUCCUAAGGUAGCGAAAUUCCUUGUCGGGUAAGUUCCGACCUGCACGAAUGGCGUAAUGAUGGCCAGGCUGUCUCCACCCGAGACUCAGUGAAAUUGAACUCGCUGUGAAGAUGCAGUGUACCCGCGGCAAGACGGAAAGACCCCGUGAACCUUUACUAUAGCUUGACACUGAACAUUGAGCCUUGAUGUGUAGGAUAGGUGGGAGGCUUUGAAGUGUGGACGCCAGUCUGCAUGGAGCCGACCUUGAAAUACCACCCUUUAAUGUUUGAUGUUCUAACGUGGACCCGUGAUCCGGGUUGCGGACAGUGUCUGGUGGGUAGUUUGACUGGGGCGGUCUCCUCCUAAAGAGUAACGGAGGAGCACGAAGGUUGGCUAAUCCUGGUCGGACAUCAGGAGGUUAGUGCAAUGGCAUAAGCCAGCUUGACUGCGAGCGUGACGGCGCGAGCAGGUGCGAAAGCAGGUCAUAGUGAUCCGGUGGUUCUGAAUGGAAGGGCCAUCGCUCAACGGAUAAAAGGUACUCCGGGGAUAACAGGCUGAUACCGCCCAAGAGUUCAUAUCGACGGCGGUGUUUGGCACCUCGAUGUCGGCUCAUCACAUCCUGGGGCUGAAGUAGGUCCCAAGGGUAUGGCUGUUCGCCAUUUAAAGUGGUACGCGAGCUGGGUUUAGAACGUCGUGAGACAGUUCGGUCCCUAUCUGCCGUGGGCGCUGGAGAACUGAGGGGGGCUGCUCCUAGUACGAGAGGACCGGAGUGGACGCAUCACUGGUGUUCGGGUUGUCAUGCCAAUGGCACUGCCCGGUAGCUAAAUGCGGAAGAGAUAAGUGCUGAAAGCAUCUAAGCACGAAACUUGCCCCGAGAUGAGUUCUCCCUGAGACUUAGAGUCUCCUGAAGGAACGUUGAAGACGACGACGUUGAUAGGCCGGGUGUGUAAGCGCAGCGAUGCGUUGAGCUAACCGGUACUAAUGAACCGUGAGGCUUAACCUUACAACGCCGAAG